CAGUCGCCGCGGUAAUACAGAGGGUGCGAGCGUUAAUCGGAAUUACUGGGCGUAAAGCGUGCGCAGGCGGUUAUAUAAGACAGAUGUGAAAUCCCCGGGCUCAACCUGGGAACUGCAUUUGUGACUGUAUAGCUAGAGUACGGCAGAGGGGGAUGGAAUUCCGCGUGUAGCAGUGAAAUGCGUAGAUAUGCGGAGGAACACCGAUGGCGAAGGCAAUCCCCUGGGCCUGUACUGACGCUCAUGCACGAAAGCAUGGGGAGCAAACAGGAUUAGAUACCCCUGUAGUCCCUGUCUCUUAUAC
rnacentral:rRNA from 1 species